rnacentral:rRNA from 1 species
UAGGGAAUCUUCCACAAUGGACGCAAGUCUGAUGGAGCAACGCCGCGUGAGUGAAGAAGGUUUUCGGAUCGUAAAGCUCUGUUGUUGGUGAAGAAGGAUAGAGGCAGUAACUGGUCUUUAUUUGACGGUAAUCAACCAGAAAGUCACGGCUAACUACGUGCCAGCAGCCGCGGUAAUACGUAGGUGGCAAGCGGUGUCCGGAUUUAUUGGGCGUAAAGCGAGCGCAGGCGGAAUGAUAAGUCUGAUGUGAAAGCCCACGGCUCAACCGUGGAACUGCAUCGGAAACUGUCAUUCUUGAGUGCAGAAGAGGAGAGUGGAAUUCCAUGUGUAGCGGUGGAAUGCGUAGAUAUAUGGAAGAACGCCAGUGGCGAAGGCGGCUCUCUGGUCUGCAACUGACGCUGAGGCUCGAAAGCAUGGGUAGCGAACAGG